AUACGGAGGGUGCAAGCGUUAAUCGGAAUUACUGGGCGUAAAGCGUACGUAGGCGGUUUAUUAAGUCAGAUGUGAAAGCCCCGGGCUUAACCUGGGAACUGCAUUUGAAACUAGUAGACUAGAGUAUGGUAGAGGGGGGUAGAAUUCCUAGUGUAGCGGUGAAAUGCGUAGAUAUUAGGAGGAAUACCAGUGGCGAAGGCGACCCCCUGGACCAAUACUGACGCUGAGGUACGAAAGCGUGGGGAGCGAACAGGAUUAGAAACCCCGGUAGUCC
rnacentral:rRNA from 1 species